GGCAAGCCCUCUGAAGACUGUCAAGAUGUUUACCCAUGCCACUGUUAAAAUGUAACUUUUUUUUAAAGGAGAAGGAAUGCUGUUUGUAUUUGCAGCCGAGGACUUCCCAUCAAUCCCACGCAACGUUCAGACCUUCAGGACCUCUUCUCAAGAAACACAAUAAACAGCAAACCCUGCCUUCUCCUACGCUGUGAAAGUGGCCCACCAGGAAGCGGCAGGAGCUAGCCUAUUAACUCACCAGCAAUUUGAUGCCUCUUAACAUGCUAAUGUGCAAGUUGAGAAAAGAAUUUCCUGCUGUUGAAAUACCAAUACCUUGGGAAUUUUUUCAGUGAAGAUAUACAAGUUUAUUCUUUGCAUUUAGUGAGGAAAAACAAAAUCAGAAAACUAAACAACUGAAAUGUCUUAAUACACAGGCCAUCACGCCAUGGCUCUGCCUCAUGACUAAGCUUUUCAUCCAUCAAAGAAACAAGAAAAACGUGAUAAUGAGCCUUCAUUUUUCCUGGUCGUGCCUCAGUUUCCACAUUAUCACCAUCUUGGUGUCUUUCUGCACCUGUGAUGAGCUCUAUGACAGAAGGAGCUAACUCCUCUGACCCUCAGGCACCCAAAGUGAGUGCUGGGGCCCAAACUUGGGUCUCCUGCAAGAACACAGUAACCAUUUCUCGGCCUCUGAUUUUAUUUUAAUUGCCAGUUUUGGUUAGCAUACAAGGAAGUAGGUUUCACUAUGACAUUUUUAUAUACGUAUCUCUAUUUUUCUUACCUCUCCCCUAUAACAUAACCUCUCAUCCUCCCACCACCCUUCAGGUCUCUUUCCUCCCCACAAACAGUUACCCACUCUGCUUUCGGCAGACGUGUAAAUUUUUGUCUACCCUGUACCUCUAACUCUCUUCUGGCCAAACCACACGUGGAUAAAGGAAAAGAGAGAGAGCCACACUGAUGGGAACUGGCAGCCUGCAACGUACAGGGUUCGUCUACCUAGACUAACAGGAUUAGUGUGUUAAAACACACCUUUCUCCUCCACAGCCCCCUCAAGAUUUAGGAAGUUAAUCCUAAGCAGGAAAAGUAAGAAAGAUCUUAGAAAGCUGAUAGUCGAAUUGGUGAGUUUGGUUUCAGAAUGUUGAUGCUGAGCUGCGUAGUUGCAGGAGUAGAGAAUGUUGUAAGGGCAAUCCCACUCCAUAGGUACAGCAGAGCUGCUUAUGCAAAACCAGUUAAUUUGGAAAGAUUUCCCAAAGCCGCCGUGCAUAGUGGCUGCAGGGGAAAGAAAUAAAAGCCUCGUGUGGACGUGGCCA
rnacentral:lncRNA from 1 species